rnacentral:lncRNA from 1 species
AACAAUAUUCCACCACCACUACUUAAUUGUUCUGCCGCGCCACACAUACUGGACUACUGGUCAUGAUGCUGGCGGCACCGGAAUGCCCCAUGAUGCUGGCAGCACCGGAAUGCCCCCAGAUGCUGCAACGGCCUUCACUGAAACACCCUCACUAGAGUUGUCAUUGUCACCACCAUCAUCACCACCAUUAAGAACUUGCCCAUCCACACGUACAAGCUGGAACAUAAGCCAUCUUCUUUGCA